rnacentral:rRNA from 1 species
UGCCAGCAGCCGCGGUAAUACGUAGGGGGCAAGCGUUAUCCGGAUUUACUGGGUGUAAAGGGAGCGCAGACGGCCAAGCAAGUCUGAAGUGAAAUGCAUGGGCUCAACCCAUGAAUUGCUUUGGAAACUGUUAGGCUUGAGCGUCGGAGAGGUAAGCGGAAUUCCUAGUGUAGCGGUGAAAUGCGUAGAUAUUAGGAGGAACACCGGAGGCGAAGGCGGCUUACUGGACGACAACUGACGUUGAGGCUCGAAGGCGUGGGGAGCA